rnacentral:rRNA from 1 species
CGGCACCUCAAGUGGUCAGGAUGAUUAUUGGGCCUAAAGCAUCCGUAGCCGGCGCUGUAAGUUUUCGGUUAAAUCUGUACGUUCAACGUACAGGCUGCCGGGAAUACUGCAGCGCUAGGGAGUGGGAGAAGUAGACGGUACUCGGUAGGAAGGGGUAAAAUCCUUUGAUCUAUUGAUGACCACCUGUGGCGAAGGCGGUCUACCAGAACACGUCCGACGGUGAGGGAUGAAAGCUGGGGGAGCAAACCGGAUUAGAUACCCGAGUAGUCC